rnacentral:tRNA from 1 species
AAGACAUGCGACAGAGUUUUUGUUAUUAUGUUGAAGAAAAUUAACUGAAAAUUAUUUAAUGUCUUU